UGGUGUAGGACUACUGGGAUGAGAGUGUGGGUGGUUGUUAGAGAAUAAUUUACACUGAAUAUGGCCAACACAAAAAAUUACUUGAAUAUCUACUCAGUCAUCAGUGGUUUUCUCGAUGCUGCAGUGGUGUGAGUGGUCCUUUGACCUGCAGUAUCAUCAGCUAUUUAUUGCGAGGCUACUGAGUUUGACUGUAUGUUCCUUUGAUCUCUAGCCAUUCGGAUCUUUGCUGUAUAUGUUGGCUAUAGUGGGUUC
rnacentral:lncRNA from 1 species